rnacentral:misc_RNA from 1 species
UACAGUCCUUCAGCAUCAGAUGGUGCUGCCGCAGAUAAAGGGCCCUCUACUUCUACUCCACCUCCCCCACCCGAGAAGGAUGUGGUUGAGGAAAAAGUUAGUUCACCUGAACCAAAGAUUUCCAAACCCAGUGCAACUCCUUCUGAAGAUCGCAUUUUUGCUAGUCCUCUUGCAAGAAAAUUGGCUGAAGAUCACAAUGUACCUCUCUCAAGCAUUAAAGGAACAGGUCUUGAUGGACACAUUGUAAAGGCUGAUAUAGAAGAUUUCUUGGCAUCACGUAGGAAGGAGCGCGAAGUUUCAGCAACAGCACCUAAAGCCAAGGACACAACACCUGCUGCAUUAGAUUAUGUUGACAUUCCUCAUUCUCAAAUAAGAAAGGUUACAGCUUCACGCUUAUUAUUAUCAAAGCAAACAAUCCCUCAUUAUUAUUUAACAGUAGAUACAUGUGUUGACAAACUUAUGGAUUUGCGGAGCAAACUAAAUUCAUUACAAGAGGCCUCAGGUGGGAAGCGGAUAUCUGUAAAUGAUCUUGUAAUCAAGGCUGCUGCUUUGGCUCUUAAAAAAGUUC